rnacentral:rRNA from 1 species
UACGAAGGGGGCUAGCGUUGCUCGGAAUGACUGGGCGUAAAGGGCGCGUAGGCGGAUGGCACAGUCAGAUGUGAAAUUCCCGGGCUUAACCUGGGGGCUGCAUUUGAUACGUGUUGUCUUGAGUUCGGAAGAGGGUCGUGGAAUUCCCAGUGUAGAGGUGAAAUUCGUAGAUAUUGGGAAGAACACCGGUGGCGAAGGCGGCGACCUGGUCCGACACUG